CCACUGUUUCGGAACAUCCCUCGAGAAAAAAAUAUUCAACUAAAAAAUGCAUCGCAAAUGGUAACCGCAGAGUUCAGGGAUGGCAGAUCCUCUGAGACAUUGGCCAUAUUUGGCAUUCAAAGUACCCCUCCUGCUAUUAUAAAUUUCAAGAGAGAUCAAUCCUCGAGCAUACAGACUUGCCUUUCCAAAGAACACACUUCCAGAGAAGCCCAUCAGGAAUAAUUCCUACUGAGGGACUUCACAAUGUGGAAAAAUCUGCUGGUCACGGUCCUCCUUGCAGGCCUCUGCAGCGAUGUUGGUCUCUGCGUGAGAAGGAGCAGUUCAUAUAGAAGAAGGAAGUUCUUCAAAAAUGCCAACAAAAAUUCCACCACCCUGAAAAAUCUUUGCUAUGGCAGUGCAAUGAUUGAGAACAUGACCCUGGAGGCCAAUGACACCAUUUUUUACAGAGAUAAUACCAAGGAGUUUCCCAAUGGAGUUUUCUACCCCAACUGUUCUUUGCCGCUCCGUCUUAAUGAGAGCAGAGAAACUCGAACUGAGGAAUGUGUUGAUUUCAUCAUCACUUUGACCAACUUGAGCCUGCCCGAUGGGAAGAAUGCAAGCGAACCCAGCAAGAGGGUGAUGUGGCACGUGAUCAAUCACUUGUGUGCCAAUGAAUCCUGCAGCCUGCCAUGCCCAGGGUCUUCAAAUGUUAGCAGUGCCCAUUACUUCAGUCAAAUUCUAAUGAUGAGCCUUGUGGCUUACUCCAUUCUUAGCUCACAGUAGAGUAUGGGAUAAAGUCCGAUGAAAACCAAAGAGGAAAUUUGCAAACAGCAAAGCUUCCUUCCCCAUGCUUGAAUUUCUAUGGAUAGGGAAAAGAUUAGUCAAUUAUGUGCAGACAUUUCCAAUUUUCAUUCAACCAUCAGCUUCCCCAUUCUGCUCCCCACAACGGAGGAAAAAGUGCAUGCUAUAAAUGCACAGGGAUGUAAAUGUGUGAAUGAUAUAGAGAACUGUGGUUUAACUAAGGUCAGAAAAAUCAAGGUUAGCUUUAACCAGCCUUUGAGCUUUGUCAAUCAGUGUCACUCUGGAAUGUAAUAUUUCUCUUUCUAGGCACCUCUGAAACUAUUAAUCAUGUUUAAUUAUAUUUUAUGUAAUUUAUGCUGAUACAUAUUUGGAUAAUCCCACAUAAUCUCAAUCUUAUAUCUAUUUGAUUUCUAUUAUCGUAAGUAUAUCUCACUGUAUCAUGUGUAAAAGCUAUAGCCAACUUAUAGAUGUGUCUACUUAGUCUAUAAUUAAUAUUUGCCAUAUUUAUUUAGGUAUAAUACAAUAUAGUUAUUAAUGAAAAUAAUGGCAAUAGAUUAGAUAGAUAGAUAGAUAGAUAGAUAGAUAGAUAGAUAGAUGAUAGAUAGAUAGAUAAAUAGAUAGAUAGAUGAUAGAUAGAUAAAUAGAUAGAUAGAUAGAUAGAUAGAUAGAUAGAUAGAUAGAUAAAUAGAUAGAUGAUAGGUAGGUAGAUAGAUAGAUAGAUAGAUAGAUAGAUAGAUAGAUAGAUAGAUAAAUAGAUAGAUGAUAGAUAGAUAAAUAGAUAGAUAGAUGAUAGAUAGAUAGAUAGAUAGAUAGAUAGAUAGAUAGAUAGAUAGAUAGAUUAUAUUAUCAAGUUUCAUUAUGUACUGGUCAUUGACCACCUUAAAGAUUUUCUUCUUGUGUGGUAAGAAAAUGUAUAUCAGGGAAAGAAGACAGGCAAGUGCCAUCAUGUGCAUCAUACUAAUUGCACACAUGAUGAGUAUUACAUAAUUUGCAUCACUUGGCAUCAGUUGUGCAAAUGACAUCUCUGGGAAUUAUAAUUAAUGCCCACAUAUAAAUGAUAGGAUUUUAGAAACCAUCUUAGAGAAAUUACUGUAGACCUAAGCAGAUUGGGAUCUACUCAAAGAUUUCUGGAUGAUUAGGAGCAGCUCAGUCAUCUUUUUUUUCAGAUCUCCAUUUAAUAUAUAUAUGCCAAUCUCAAACACAUGACUCUAGAUGGCUUGAAAAUAAAAUAGUAAAGUAAAAUAAACAUAACACCAAUAAAUAACAAAUAUAAUGCCACACUAAUUUAUAAAUCACAAUAUAUUAUAUACUACGACUGAGUUUGUAAAAAAUAAGACCCAGGACAGUUUUUGCUCCAAGGAUGAAGUCUAUCUGUAAGAUGAAAUCUCUUUAUCGCUAUUUUAAACCAAGAUGGGAUCGUCUCCUUGAGUUCAGUGAAAUUAAGAAUGAAAAUGAUUAAUAAUGGUGCUCUCAUAAAUCCUACAUUUAUUCACUAGAUUUUUACAUGUGAACAGAAGCUCCACCAUAGCCUGUUAGCUAUCAAUAAAGAAAGGGAAGAAAAAUACCCCUAAAGAAAACCAUCUUUUCAAGCACGGCUUCUACUUCAUUUUGUUUCCAUCACAACUAAUAUGUUUUGCUAACUUACCCCCAAGAGUCAUCUUGUACAAUGGAAAAUGCAUCACAGCCAAGAUGGCAUGAACCAAUUGCCAUAACUACAAACCAAACUUUCAAAUCCAAAGGAGAAGAAGACCAUAAUUCUCAACUUGUAAACCACAACGCUUGAUUAAAUUGGCCAGGUUAUGAUUGAGCAUCUUGGGAUUAGUUUGGUUUUGGCUCACGGUGUUAUGCAAAUCCAAUCGAUUGUGAUGCAAUCAAUAAAUAAUAGUUAUAGAAAAGUCUGACUUUGUGCAAUGUAUCACCUCAGUUUACAAUAAAUGUCAGCAACCAUCAGGGACUAGAGAAGUCCUCAUGGACUAUGAUUUGGCCAUGUAAAAGAAACAUCCAUUUUAAACCCUCUCCUACAAAUUGUGCAUAAGUGGAUGCCUACUGAUAUUUGCUUUGAGCUUUUUUAUGUCAGUAAUGGAAAGUCUGAUUCUUCAUUUUCCAUCCAUCGUAGUAGUAUGACCUUGUGGACAAAUGUACACAUUAAUCUUGUCUUUCUGAUCAGAGUCUUGGCUAGAACUUUCCUUCCCAUUAACUGUGCCAUUAUCUCUUAAGUAAUCAGUGGAAUAGCAUCCAUUAGAUACACCACAAAGAAGACAAGAGCAAACACUUUGAGUUGUUUGGCAUGGCCCCCAUUUUCUACCAAAGACUUCCUCAUCUGCCAUCUUCAUUUAUUGUACUUGAAAAGCAGUGAUCUGGAUACUGAUAGAGAAUAUUUGUAGCUCAGGAUUGAACUGUGGGGUCCUUGGUACUCUCUCAACUUGGCGGUUUUCUUGCAGGCAUUUAAUUUACCAAGCUAGGUAACAUCAUCAAUGCUAGCAUGAUGUUACCUAGCUUAGUAAUGAAACAUCUGCAAGAAAACCAGCAAGCUCAGAGAGCACCAAAGACCCCACAGUGCUCUGCAUGUUAUAACAGUGAUGUUAUGGGUUAUAUUUUUUUACAUUUGAUUGUAAAAUCUGAUUUCAACAAUUUGAAAGCAGUACCGAUAGACCUUGACUUACAACAGCUCAUUUAGUGACCGUUCAAAGUUACAAUGACACUUUAAAAAGUAACUUAUGACUGUUUUUUGCACUUAUGAUCAUUGCAGCCUCCUCAUGGUCACGUGAUCAAAAUUCAGACACUUGGCAACUGACUCAUAUUUAUGACCAUUGCAGUGUCCUGGAAUCAUCUGAUCACUUUUUGUGACCUUCUGACAAGCAAAGUCAAUGGGGAAGCCAGAUUCACUUAACAACUGCAAUACUAACUUAACAACUGCAGUGAUUCAGUUAAGAACUGGGGCAAGAAAGGUUGUAAAAUGGGACAAAACUCAUUGAACAAAUGUCUCCCUUAACAACAGAAAUUUUGAGCUCAAUUUUGGUCAUAAGUCAAGGAAUACCUGUAAUUAUCAAUUAGAAAAAGAACAUGAUUGAAAGAAUCCCUCCUUCCAGCCCUUAAGAAAAUUAUCUAUUGUUUCUCAUUCAGAAGUCCAUGUAUCAUUGGUGAUCCACAGAAGUAAUCUAGUUGACAAAUAAUUCCUUUCCCAAAAUGGGACAGCAGAGCAGGGGGCCAGAAAUCAUAGCCUCCAGGUGGGGUCCUCUGAGCAAAGAGCCACCCAGAUCAGCAAGGUUUAGGUUUAAAAAAUAAGCUUAACAUUUUGCAGUAUUUAACGUUAACUUUUCAUUUGGUUAUAUAGAGGGGGGAAAUGGUUAAGUUAGGACUUAGGGGCAGACAGUGCAUCAAUUCCAUCUUAGAGAAAUAUUGCUAAUAGUACCAUUGCAAUUUUUAAUGCCUUGAAAACUUGUUAUAAUUGGCACAUACAGUAUAACAGAAGAUCUGGUAUCUCUCUCUUCUUGGAAAAGCAAGACACUUUAUUUCUAUUUUCUGGGAACUCUCAUUCUUUGAUAGAUUGAUUUGACUUUGGAUACAAGAAGUUUAAAAACAAUGAGCUAAGGUUGUUUGUACAUUAUGCUAUUGGCUAGCUAUAUAGUUUCCAUGUUGUGUUUUAGCUAUGUUUUAGUUAUGAUUAAUUGAAUAGUCUGGGUUACUACCAUACACUGUUAUAAACCAUGAUUUUCAAAUCAUAGUGGAUUGAUUUCACAGCACAUAGCCAAAGGAAGAAAGAAAAAAUGAUUAAUACAUUAUGUGAAUCCAAAUACGAACAAUUGAGCUUGGAAUCCUAAGAGAAUGCAGGAUGAUUUCUUAGGCAUCCGAUGUGAGAAAAUGGAUUUUAUUCGCUGUUGAAAUGUCCAUUCUGUGUCUCUAUCUUUGCUCAACUGCAAAUUAAAGCAAAUAUUGCAAAUGCCA